GCUAGUAAUCGCGAGUCAGCAUAUCGCGGUGAAUAACGUUCCCGGGUCUUGUACACACCGCCCGUCACACCAUGGGAGUUGGCAACACCCGAAGCCGAUGAGCUAACCCGCAAGGGAGGCAGUUGUCUAAGGUGGGGUUGAUAACUGGGGUGAAGUCGUAACAAGGUAAC
rnacentral:rRNA from 1 species